GGAAACUGAGGAUCCUGUACCCAGACGUACUGCUGUUGAACUACAGAAAUGCUCUCAGAAUGUGAUUCCUGUUUCUACGACAUCCAGAAGACAGUUGCUUUCUCUUUGUAGAAGCAAAAGAUCAGAGGAGGAAACUAUCAACAGAAGGACAUGAAAAUACACUUUAAAUUAUUUUUUCAUAUAAAUGGGUUUUGAAUAUAGUAAUAACUUCCUGGGAAACAAGAAGGCUUAAGGAGUUAUCAUGAACAAUGCAGUCAAUGCCUCUUCUGGGUGUUUAACAGAAAAAAGAACUUGUUCAGCUGCACAUGAGAAGAUACGGAGCAAUUUUCCUCUUUUGCUGCUGUUCAUGUGAACUCAGGAAUCUGUG
rnacentral:lncRNA from 1 species